rnacentral:lncRNA from 1 species
ACAGAUAUGUUUGAUACAUGCCAUAACUAGAGAGGCAAUUUCCGUAGAGGUACUUAAAGGUGAAAUAGCUCUUUGAAUGUUUAAUUUUUUUGCUUGUGAAAGAAGCAAAAGGAACUAGACACCACAGGAAAGAAAAGUAAUGGGGUUUCAAGUGUUCUAUUGAGAUGAUAUCUAGCUUGGGUGAAGAAUGUUUUCUGUUGUUGUGGUACCUGUGUAUAUAUA